rnacentral:rRNA from 1 species
AGCAGCCGCGGUAAUUCCAGCUCCAAUAGCGUAUAUUAAAGUUGUUGCAGUUAAAAAGCUCGUAGUUGAAUUUCGGGGUCAGUAGGCUGGUCGUGCCACGGGUAUGUACUGGUCUUACUGAUUCCUCCUUCCUGAUGAACCGUAAUGCCAUUAAUUUGGUGUUGCGGGGAAUCUGGACUGUUACUUUGAAAAAAUUAGAGUGUUUAAAGCAGGCUAACGCUUGAAUACAUUAGCAUGGAAUAAUGAAAUAGGACGAUCGAUCCUAUUUUGUUGGUUUCUAGGAUUGACGUAAUGAUUAAUAGGGAUAGUUGGGGGCAUUAGUAUUCAAUUGUCAGAGGUGAAAUUCUUGGAUUUAUUGAAGACUAACUACUGCGAAAGCAUUUGCCAAGGAUGUUUUCAUUAAUCAAGAACGAAAGUUAGGGGAUCGAAGACGAUUAGAUACCGUCGUAGUCUUAACCAUAAACUAUGCCGACUAGGGAUCGGAUGAUGUUAAUUUUUUAAUGACUCAUUCGGCGCCUUACG